CCGGCAGAAAAUGGAGAUUUGGAGAACGUAACGCUACGUGGUUUGGGUUAACAGCUUGUUAUUGGGAAGAUUAUAAAGAACGACUCUCGACAUUAAAAGAGUAAACAUACAAUGGGACGUGUGCAAAGAGCCGUUAACAGACGAUGUUAUACUUAGGCUAGAUAUUUUGGACACACUGAGCGCAGUGAUAAACCUGAGUACUCCCAC
rnacentral:lncRNA from 1 species